rnacentral:lncRNA from 1 species
AGCUUCUUUUUGUUCUCUUUCUCUUUUCCUUUUGCAUUUCAGAUAAAACUGUUGGGAAAGAACAUAGGACAACCUUCUAAUUGAGUGAUGAAAUAAUAAGAUCAAAUGAACCAGGUUGUUCUAACAUCAUUGAUUACUGAAGAAGGGAAGAGCUACUCAGGAGUAUUUUACCUGAAAACUCCAGGUUUCACAGAUUGGUAACUAUAGCUGUUACAACUCUCUAGCUUGAGAAGACAUCAUCC